rnacentral:lncRNA from 1 species
UAAGUGUAUCUCAAUUAAAAAAAUGGGGAAAAAUAAAUGGCAGAAAAAUUUAGCCAAAAAAGUGAAAUUUAAGGCAAAAUGGGGCCAAAAAAACAAAAUUUAAUAAACUAAAAAUUUUAAAUUAAAAAAAUAAACCCAAAUGGUGCUAAAAAUAAAUUCAUAAAUUAAAAACACUCUUUUAACACAAAAUUAGUAAAAGUCAUCUAAUCUCUUAAUCUCUAC